ACCUGGAGGCACUACAUAAUUUUUACUGUCCUUUUCCUGUUAAAGUGCGCCAUCUCAGGAUGAUUCAGUGUAGUUAUGCUAUUUUUCAUUCUGAGAUUCCAUGAAUAGGUAAUAACUGUACUGCAUAUACAUGGAUUGAUAAGUUAGGUUGCAUGCCUCCUUUUUAUCACAGACAGGAUGUUCCAGAGCUUAUUCAUGAUUUGUUGUUGCUCAAUUUGUGUUGUCUUGAUUGCAUCAUAGGUGCAAUAGAGUAAUGGCAUAUGAAUAUUAGCCAGAUUCCAAUCAAAUCAAGAUGAAGUAAUUUCCAUUAGUUACAUUUUUGGGUCUGAGAGAGCUCUAAACUUCGGUGCAGAUUCCCCUUUUCCCUUUCGAAGGAGAAAAAUACAUUGAACCCUCUACCCACAUUAUUUUAUCUCAGUAUAUAUAUAUACAAUCUACUCUCAGUGUGCAUAGAAAUUUCAAUUGGGGUUCUGAAUGUCAGUUAUCAUGAGUGCUUAAUCAGGUAUGGUGCAGUGCUGAACUAGAAAAUAAGACCUAAAAGACUAGUCACUGCGGUACCGAAUGUUAAAACACUUGAUACUGAACUUGGUUAAAGCCUAGACAAUUUGGCAGAUGUUUGGUGCUCAACUGUGGCCCUGAAUGGAAUCAAGGUCCUGGACCAGACAUGGUUCUUGCAAGAAAACAGUCGAAGCACUGGAACGUUGCAUUCCAAACACCAACCAUGGGUUCUUAAUGCCCUGGUGCUGAAACUUUGAACACUUGGUACCGAACAGCCAAAGGGUUUAGGGUUACCUAUGUUCGAACACUUGGUACCAAAUUUUUAUUCACUGAGGUACUUUAAUUUGUCACAUGAGGUGCUUCAAGUUCCAUCUUUUGUGCGAGUAUUUUUGUAGGGACUUAAACACUGACAGAUUUAUAACAAUUUCCAGGUUAUAAGUUUGGGUUUUGUAACUUUUGUGAGGUGACGAGCCAUUAAUCUAGUAUAGAUUGCAUUUCUACAAGAUUUUUAUUAGUAAUUUUGUAGGUAGAACAACCUGAUCUGGUCUAUUAAAUAGUGGUAUAGAAUGAAUUUAUUUCCAGAGUCUGCCUCGUUUGCAACCUAUAUAUACUGCUAUGUCCUUUUUAGUGAAAUUUUUUAUUUCUUCAAUGAUAUGUGUGCAGUUUCCUAACUCAUUAAGCACCUUCAGAACAUAGGCUGGACAUCCUGUUUGAAUUUGUUAAGUACCUAGGGAAAGCCUACAAGUACUUAAUUAAAGGCCUAGAGGGGUGCCGAAUGCUUGCAGCCAGUUCUUCAUCACAGGAAUUGUAUCAUAUGAUGUGCUUAAGUUAUUUGAAACGGGUACUAAAUCUCCCAGAAGAAUAGAAUGGCACUGUUGUGGCCUUAUAUUUUCAAUAGAUUUGGCAUUGACCACAUUGUGUUCAGAGGUACUUGGCUAACUUCUUGGCCUGAACGUUUUGUUCUGGGAUGUGCCCCAUGUAGUUGUAAAUGUUGGCUUGCUAGCACUUGCGUUUUUCUGUACGUUCAGUUUUGGCUUGGACUAGCUUAAGUCCUGUUUGUAGACUGUAGCUAAGAGCUUUCUCUCCGCAUAUGAUAUUGAUGUUUUACAUAUUUGAAUUUGCUUAUGGAUCGUUAAAUAAGCUGAAUUAGGAUGGAGAACACCUGCUUCAGAUGAAGUUUUCCCUGUCAUUUACUUGCUUCAAAAUAGCAGGACUUGUACCAGAUUAGCAGUGGCCGAAGUGUGGCGGGUGUGAAGUCCAAUUACUGAGGACGUGGGCAUAGCCCAGUGGUUGAGGUCGCAGUGAUGCACCCCAACAACCAGAGUUCGAAUCCUGUCAGGAGCGAAUUUCUGGAAUUCUCACACCGAGGUCCCGCUUCUACUAUAUCAUUUAGUGUCUAGUUCCUCCUAGCACUAAUUCAAUUUUUUUUUUUGAAGUCCAAUUACUGAGUUAAGCUUUUCAAACGCGUUGGCCCUUUUGUUUUAGCUCAGCAUCAUGCAAUAAGUACCUCUCAAGAAGUAUUUUUUAAAAUCAAAGGAUUCCUUUGCAUGGCUUUUGUGACUCCCCCUGCGGUUUAUUUGCAGAUUUUCGGCUUGUAUCUAAAGAUUUUUGCAGCGUUAAUCUAAUUUAUUGCUAUUCCCUCUCCAAACCACCAAGCUGCGUCUCCGCCUGCGGGUAGUCCUGGUGCACUCCGUGCCGCCCAGCCACCGGUGAAGGACUCGGCCUUGCCGCGUCGUCCCUGGUCGCAAGGGCCUUGGGGCUGGCCGUGAAUGGUGCGGCAACGCCUCUUAAGGUGGUUCCCUGCGAGCCUGCCUGCACCACCUACCUCGUCAUGGUGGCAGACUCCAUGGACAUGCUGUGCGCCUGCUGGAGUACGGACGCAGCCCAGUUUGUAGAGAGCUCUCGAUUAGAUUUACUUUUUCUCUCUUGUUCCUUUUGCUUUAAUAUUCAGUUAAGAAGUAAAAUUAGUAGCUAGGUGCAAUGUUCUUUUUCGUUGCAAUUUGUGGCCCAACAUGUGUUUGUGUAAAUGUAUGAAAUGAGCAAAAUGUCAUUGCUGUUAUAUUGGAAGGGCCUUACUCUUACUCAUCCCAUACCAAGGUUCGCAUUUGUCUUUCUUUUCCCAUGUCUAUUCCAGAUGUGACUGCAUUUGUUCUUGCCCACCCUCUAUCUGUAAAAAAUCAUGGGCCAAGACCAGCACGCUCGCAGAAAACCUAGUAGCACACGCCAAAUUUUAUCUCUUCCAAUCCAUUUUAGAUUAAACCCCAUGUUGUGUGGUGUUAGUUACAGACACACACUUACUUUGGUUAUCAGUAUAAUUUUAAGGUAUAUUUGUGUUUCUAUUGGUCAACACCAAGUCAAUGACUGUGUUAUUACUUACAGAUUGAGACUUUGAUUACACUAGAUUUUUUACUCCUUUUAUCACUCAUUUGUAUUGCUCACAUCACAUAUAUCAUUGGUUUUGUUUCAUGCCCAAUUGUAAACAAUCUUUAAAUGAGCUAGAUAAGCAAUGCAUGUGAAUUUAAAUAUGAGGUUCUGUGCCACAAGCCAAUAGCCACAGAGCUUUGCUGUUUCAUGCCCAACUGUAAACAAUGUUCGUAGUAUUUUUCUCACUAUCCUACAACUGCGUCCCCCCUCGCCAUCUGUUCAGGUACAUACCAUUCGAGGGCUGGAGCCUCCGCAUCUCUCUGCGAUCUCGUGUAUUUUGCCAGCGAGCUACCGCACUUUGUGCUUCCUUAUUAUCUGUUUCCAUCUUGAGUUUGCUCUCUAUUUGUUUCACUUCAGAAUUAUACCUGACUCUGUUUGCUUCAUAGGAUUUGUGUAAUAUUGUUUGCUGCUGCAGGAAGCUUUAGAUGGUGGUCUUGAUAUUCCGUACAUUGACGAGAGAUUUGCUGGUUUCAAGAAGGAUGACAAGCUGCUGGAUGCAGUGGUUCACCGCAAAUACAUAUAUGGAAAGCAUGUUGCUGACUACUUGAGGGCACUAGCCGAAGAGGAACCUGAGAAGUACCAAUCUCACUUCAGUGAGUACAUCAAGAGGGGGAUCGAGGAUGAUGGCUUGGAAGUGAUGUACAAGAAGGUUCAUGGUGCAAUCCCGUGCCGAUACAUUCUUCAGUACUAGAAUCCCCACUUCUGGAUACUAAAUGUCUGUUUGUGAGGGUACUUCAUGGCUGAAGAACUGGAUCCCUGUAUCAGUCAAACAAUUACGUAAUCUUCAUGAGUUGUCGGAGUUACUCUAGAACUGAGAAUCAGGCAGGCGAAAGUUUAUUUUCUAUUGAACCUCGAUGCUACUUAUGUCUUAGUCUGAAUGCUUCUGGACUCUUGAAGCUACUGGCA